GAGAAUGAUUAAGAAAUAUAGAGACUGCUAAUUAUCUACCCCGCAGUUAAACUCCGCGGCCUACUCA
rnacentral:tRNA from 1 species